GAAGGUAGCACUUAGUCAGCACAGUUAUAACUUCAGAGUAAUGACGUUUGGCAUGGUAACAAAGUAACCUUAACUCUAAUUAAAUUUGCUAAUGUGCAGCACAAUUCAUUCUCCUUAAUCAAGCUCUGCUGUUAUCAGGACUAUAACCGAUAGUACAGAAUCUCUAAAUUAAGGUUAAUUUCACAUCCAUUGCCUUGAGCAGUCACAUUAUUGAUAGCUAUGAGCAUCAAUUUGGCAUGAGUAUUAGUGUUUGUUUAGGACGAGUUAUCCUGUGAUGGGCUGAUCUAUUAGCGUAGCAGGCAGUGUAAACACAAAAUUGCCUGCCACCUUACUUCACCCCCAGCAGAUCCAUACCGGGAGGCAGGGCAUCGAGGCCUGAUUACGUCUAAUUCUUUGUUCCAUUUUCUGUGUCAAACUUAAUCACAUUAAAUGUGUGUUACUGUCUUUCAGCCUGAUAGCAAGCUAUCGGGAGACAUGGGUAAAGCUUGCAACUCAGGCUACAGAGCUGGCCAAGACAAGAAGAAGAAGAAAAAAAAGAUCAAACAGAGGAUUUUAUAUCAAGUCAUUGUUUAAUUAUCACCUGUUUUUUCUCUGUCUUUUUCUUCCAGGCUAACUUACACCUGCUCGCACAGGCUUAAUGAGUGCAGGUAUGUCACAGAGAGAGAGAUGUCACUCUUCAUUUCAUAACAGUGGCUGCAUUACAGAGGAGUGGAGCCCUAUGCAGGGUAAUUACCGCACUGUUUUUCGUGGCUGGUGGUAAUGUUGCCCGAGGGGAGCCCCAGAUGCACCUGCCUCAGAGUCGGCCCAAUUACUCGCCUAUUUCCCCUAGCUCAACAUUUUCACUCAGGCAGAGGUCACCAUAGCCACCCAGAUCCAAUCCCUAUCCAGACCAGAUGGUCACUGCAGUCACCCGGAUUUAGUCCGUAUUCACCAUAGCCACCCAGAUCCAAUCCGUAUCCAGACCAGAUGGUCACUGCAGUCACCCGGAUUUAGUCCGUAUCCAGACCAGAUGGUGGAUCAGCACCUAGAAAGGACCUCUACAGUCCUGAAAGACAGCGGAGACCAGGACAGUUAGAGCUCCAGAGACAGAGCCCCUAUAAAGACCUCAUUUCAGAUGACCACUGGGACAAGACCACAGGAAACAGAUGAUUCUUCUGCACAAUGUGACUUUGCUGCAUCCUAGAAUUGAACUGCUGGUUUCGUCUGGUCAGAGGAGAAUUGGUCCCCCGACUGAGCCUGGUUUCUCCUAAGGUAUUUUCCUCCAUUCUGUCUCUG
ensembl:lncRNA